rnacentral:rRNA from 1 species
CCUACGGGUGGCAGCAGUGAGGAAUAUUGGUCAAUGGGCGCGAGCCUGAACCAGCCAAGUAGCGUGAAGGAUGACUGCCCUACGGGUUGUAAACUUCGUUUAUAAAGGAAUAAAGUGAGGCACGUGUGCCUUGUUGUAUGUACAUGAUGAAUAAGGAGCGGCUAACUCCGUGCCAGCAGCCGCGGUAAUACGCAGGAGCCGAGCGUUAUCCGGAUUUAUUGGGUGUAAAGGGAGCGUAGAUGGGUUGUUAAGGCAGUUGUGAAAGUUUGCGGCUCAACCUUAAAAUUGCAAUUGAUACUGGCUGUCUUGAGUACAUUUGAGGUAGGCGGAAUUCGUUGUGUAGCGGUGAAAUGCUUAGAUAUCACG